rnacentral:rRNA from 1 species
AUGGCUGAUGCUUUAAGUCGUAAAUCCUAUUGUAACAACCUCAUGUUGCAACAAUGUCAACCACCCCUCCAUGAGGAAUUAUGUAAGCUUAACCCGCACAUAGCUCCUUGUGGUUUCCUUUCUACCUUGGUGGUGAAACCUACCCUUAUGGAUCAGAUCAUAGAGGCUCAGAAGCAUGAUACAGGAAUCUCCCGGAUUAAGAAAAAUAUUUCCAAGGGAGUUGCUCGCUGUUUCUCUAUGGAUGAACAAGGUGUGGUUUACUUUGGAAACCGUUUGGUGGUUCCCAAAUGUCAACAAAUGCAGCAACUGAUCCUUAAAGAGGCCCAUGAAUACCCUCUCACGAUUCAUCCCGGUAGUACAAAGAUGUAUCAGGACCUACGCCAGAGGUUCUGGUGGACUAGGAUGAAGAGAGAAAUCGCUCAGUAUAUUGCCAACUGUGACGUUUGUCGUCGCCUUAAGGCAGAGCAUCAAAGACCUGCUGGCACCCUUCAACCUUUAGCUAUUCCUGGGUGGAAAUGGGACAAAGUUGGUAUGGACUACAUCACCGGCUUUCCCAGGACCAAGAAAGGAAAUAAUGCUAUCUUCGUAGUCAUUGAUCGUCUCUCCAAAGUGGCUCACUUACUACCUAUUCGAGAGAGUAUCACUUCUAGUUAG